rnacentral:rRNA from 1 species
GAUGAACGCUGACAGAAUGCUUAACACAUGCAAGUCUACUUGAUUCUACUUCGGUAGUUGAUGGUGGCGGACGGGUGAGUAACGCGUAAAGAAUCUGCCCUUUAGUUUGGGAUAACCUUUGGAAACGAAGGCUAAUACCGAAUAUUAUGGAGAUGUCGCAUGACGACUUCAUGAAAGCUAUAUGCGCUAGAGGAGGACUUUGCGUCCCAUUAGUUAGUUGGUGAGGUAAUGGCUCACCAAGACCGCGAUGGGUAGCCGGCCUGAGAGGGUGAUGGGCCACAAGGGAAAUGAGACACGGUCCUUACUCCUACUGGAGGCAGCAGUGGGGAAUAUUGGACAAUGGACCACAAGUCUGAUCCAGCAAUUCUGUGUGCACGAUGAAGGUCUUCGGAUUGUAAAGUGCUUUCAGUAGGGAAGAAAAAAAUGACGAUACCUACAGAAGAAGCGACGGCUAAAUAUGUGCCAGCAGCCGCCGUAA